rnacentral:rRNA from 1 species
GACGAACGCUGGCGGCGUGCUUAACACAUGCAAGUCGAGCGGAAAGGCCUUUCGGGGUACUCGAGCGGCGAACGGGUGAGUAACACGUGAGUAAUCUGCCCUUGGCUUUGGGAUAACUACCGGAAACGGUGGCUAAUACCGGAUACGACCAAUUACUGCAUGGUGCGUUGGGGGAAAGUUUUUUCGGCCAGGGAUGUGCUCGCGGCCUAUCAGCUUGUUGGUGGGGUAAUGGUCUACCAAGGCUUCGACGGGUAGCCGGCCUGAGAGGGUGACCGGCCACACUGGGACUGAGACACGGCCCAGACUCCUACGGGAGGCAGCAGUGGGGAAUAUUGGACAAUGGGCGGAAGCCUGAUCCAGCAACGCCGCGUGAGGGAUGACGGCCUUCGGGUUGUAAACCUCUUUCAGUACCGACGAAGCGCCGAUGAUGGUGGUGACGGUAGGUACAGAAGAAGCACCGGCCAACUACGUGCCAGCCGCCGCGGUAACAC